CAGUAGUCAGUAUGGUGUUGGUGGCCCCAGGACUGCAAUGGACAACCCUGUAUAUGGCCUAAAUGUACAAGAAAUGACUGAUUUUCAGGCGAGUGAUACUGUGGAUGCUGAUGUUAGUUUUGAUUACAGUUCACCAUUCCAUCCAGAUUCAAUGGAUGCAACAAGUAUAGAAAACCCUGUAUACUCCCAUUCCUGACGAUGAAACACAAUCCAUGACAAAGCUGUGAUAUAUCAACAAAAACUAUGAUGAC